GCUCCGUAGGUGAACCUGCGGAGGGAUCAUUACAGAGUUCAUGCCCUACCGGGUAGAUCUCCCACCCUAUGUUAUUAUUACUUUGUUGCUUUGGCGGGCCGUUAGGCUCCGGCCCGACUACCGGCCCCGGCUGGUAAGCGCCCGCCAGAGGACCCAAAACCCUGAAUAUUAGUGUCGUCUGAGUACUAUAUAAUAGUUAAAACCUUCAACAACGGAUCUCUUGGUUCUG
rnacentral:misc_RNA from 1 species